AAAUUGAUUUAUUUUCUCCUAAUCCUAAUUGUGAAGAAGAAAAAAUGGAUAAUGGUUGAAUUGUAGGAUCAUCCAGUGGACAAUCAACAGCAAAAUAUUCGGCUGUCUUCUCUAUCGUUUACCGCCAAUCUUCGUCUUCUCUCUCAAUUUCUGACCAUUUCUCCACAACCAAGGACACUAUUACUUUCGAUUUUUGAAACGGUACACACUAAAAGCAAAAGGAUCACCGUUCUUGUCCCGGAUUCUGGUUCCUGUUGUUUCUAGAUGACGAAGAAACAUAGGAAUGGGGAAAUCUCCGAAUUCGACCGGGAAUUAUCCGCCGGAACUGCCGGAGGAAGAGCUGUUGGAGAUGUAAUUCUUGGAAUUGAUGGAGGAACAACCUCCACUACCUGUGUUUGUCUUCCUUUUCUCCAUCCUCACUCUCUCCAUCUUCCUGAUUCUCUUCCUCUUCUUGCUCGAGUCGAAGCCGGCUGCUCCAACCAUAACAGCGUUGGCGAAACUGCUGCGAGGGAAACGUUGGAGCAAGUAAUGGCUGAGGCUCUUUCAAAAUCAGGUUUGGAUCUGUCUGCAGUUCGAGCUAUUUGUUUAUCUAUUUCUGGUGUAAACCAUCCAACGGAUCAGCAAAGGAUUUUGAAUUGGUUCAGAGAUAAAUUUCCUAGCCAUGUCAAACUUUAUGUUCGAAAUGACGCUGCGGCUGCUCUGGCAAGUGGUACCAUGGGAAAGCUUAGUGGUUGUGUUCUAAUUGCCGGCACUGGGAGCAUUGCUUAUGGAUUUACGGAUGAUGGAAGAGAAGCUCGAGCAGCUGGUGCAGGACCAAUCUUGGGUGACUGGGGAAGUGGGUAUGGCAUAUCAGCGCAGGCUUUAACAGCAAUUAUAAGAGCGCAUGACGGUCGUGGUCCUCAAACGAAGCUCACAAAUAGCAUUCUUCAGACCCUUGGUCUUUCUUCUGCUGAUGAACUCAUUGGGUGGACAUACGCAGAUCAAUCUUGGGCUCGCAUUGCUGCACUUGUUCCUGCCGUUGUGGCAUGUGCAGAAGCAGGGGAUGAAGUUGCAAACAAUAUCUUGCAGGAUUCAGUUAAGGAAUUAGCUCUAAGCGUGACUGCCGUUGUUCAAAGACUUGGAUUGUGUGGUUCAGAUGGAAAGGGUUCUUUUCCCCUUGUCAUGGUUGGUGGAGUUCUCGAAGGAAAUAAGGGAUGGGGUAUAGCGCAAGAAGUAAUAAACUGCAUUUCCAAGGACUACCCUGGGGUAGUUCCCAUUUGGCCCAAGGUGGAGCCUGCAAUUGGGGCUGCUUUGUUAGCCUGGAAUUUCUUGAAAGAUUGUGAACAAGAAUAAGGCUUUUAAAAAAAGUGGCCGACAAAUAUUCAUAAGUUGCCAAGAGUUGUACAGAACCAAAGUUGUAAGCGGUGACCCCAGAAUUCUGAUGGGGAAGAAGAAGAAAAAAAGCUCCUGUGAAUGAGCUAUUUCAGAUCUCGGUGGACGGUUUGGAAGGCUCAAAUGAAUUUUGAUCAUGUUUCUUUUACCUUUUGCUUAAGUCAUAUCAGCCUGAAAUUACCAAAACAAAACAUCGUAUAUAUGGGUUGGGAUCUUGCUCGCUGCUUAGGGUUAAGAGUUGCCUGUUUCUCACUUCCUCUAUUUUUCUCUUGUUCUCGUGAUUUGAUCUCUUUUAUUAAAAGGGAAGGGAUAAAAAGAGUAGCAAGAGUCAAGAAUAAGGAUUAAAUGUGAGGAUAUAUAGUAGCGAGCAAGAAGCAAGAGUAACGGGAGUGAGAAGCAAGAGCUACAAAUAAAGAUUAAAAGCAAGGAUGUGUACUAUUGACUAAUGGGAGCAAGUGUGAACCAAUAAAAUGUUUGAGCUUAACCAAAAAGAUGCAUGGGGCAUCAAAACAACAAAUGUGAACCAAUUCAAGAACAUUGUUUUUUAAUUAGAGUUCAACUCAUGCAACCACUAGGUUGAGUUCAAAGAAAAAUUUAAUGCGAUAA